CCUACGGGAGGCAGCAGUGGGGAAUAUUGCGCAAUGGGCGAAAGCCUGACGCAGCGACGCCGCGUGAGGGAUGAAGGUCUUAGGAUCGUAAACCUCUGUCAGCAGGGAAGAACGGUCACUGUGCUAAUCAGCAGUGAAUUGACGGUACCUGCAAAUGACGCACCGGCUAACUCCGUGCCAGCAGCCGCGGUAAUACGGAGGGUGCGAGCGUUAAUCGGAAUUACUGGGCGUAAGGCGCUCGUAGGCGGUAUGUCAAGUCAAGGGUGAAAUCCCCGCGCUCAACGUGGGAACUGCCUUUGAAACUGGCAAACUGGAGUGUGUGAGAGGAUAGUGGAAUUCCAGGUGUAGGAGUGAAAUCCGUAGAUAUCUGGAGGAACAUCAGUGGCGAAGGCGACUAGCUGGAACAUAACUGACGCUGAGGAGCGAAAGCGUGGGUAGCAAACAGGAUUAGAUACCCUUGUAGUC
rnacentral:rRNA from 1 species